GUGGGGAAUAUUGGACAAUGGGCGAAAGCCUGAUCCAGCCAUGCCGCGUGUGUGAAGAAGGCCUUUUGGUUGUAAAGCACUUUAAGCGAGGAGGAGGCUACCGAGAUUAAUACUCUUGGAUAGUGGACGUUACUCGCAGAAUAAGCACCGGCUAACUCUGUGCCAGCAGCCGCGGUAAUACAGAGGGUGCGAGCGUUAAUCGGAUUUACUGGGCGUAAAGCGUGCGUAGGCGGCUUUUUAAGUCGGAUGUGAAAUCCCUGAGCUUAACUUAGGAAUUGCAAUCGAUACUGGGAAGCUAGAGUAUGGGAGAGGAUGGUAGAAUUCCAGGUGUAGCGGUGAAAUGCGUAGAGAUCUGGAGGAAUACCGAUGGCGAAGGCAGCCAUCUGGCCUAAUACUGACACUGAGGUGCGAAAGCAUGGGGAGCAAACAGGAUUAGAAACCCCAGUAGUCC
rnacentral:rRNA from 1 species